rnacentral:piRNA from 1 species
UAAAGGCAUGGUUGGAUGAGUGUUCAGU